UACGUAGGCAGCGAGCGUUGUUCGGAGUUACUGGGCGUAAAGGGUGUGUAGGCGGUUGUUUAAGUUUGGUGUGAAAUCUCCCGGCUCAACUGGGAGGGUGCGCCGAAUACUGAAUGACUUGGAGGGCGGGAGAGGAAAGUGGAAUUCCUGGUGUAGCGGUGAAAUGCGUAGAUAUCAGGAGGAACACCGGUGGUGUAGACGGCUUUCUGGACCGUAACUGACGCUGAGACACGAAAGCGUGGGUAGCAAACAGG
rnacentral:rRNA from 1 species